CUCCUAAAUGUCCUAGGCUGCACGCGCACUACACUGACACAUUCAACGAGUCUGAUUGCCUUUACGGCAACCUAUCUUGAAGAGGAUGGGAAAUCUUUUGAACUUGUGUCGUGAUGAGGAUAGAUGAUUGCAAUUAUUCUCCUUGAAUGAGGAAUGCCUAGUAAGCGUAAGUCAUAAGCUUGCGCUGAUUACGUCCCUGCCCUUUGUACACACCGCCCGUCGCUACGACCGACUGUUUCUGUCAAUGAAGCUGUAGGAUUUGGUCCUGGCCGGGCUUCACGGCCUGGCUGCGGCACUGGAGAUCACAGUUUAGUUGAUACGAAAUACAGGACGUAAAAGUCGUAACA
rnacentral:rRNA from 1 species